rnacentral:rRNA from 1 species
AUUGAACGCUAGCGGGAUGCCUUACACAUGCAAGUCGAACGGAGUGGCGAACGGGUGAGUAAUGUAUCGGAACGUGACCAGCAGCGGGGGAUAACUACGCGAAAGCGUAGCUAAUACCGCAUACUAUUGGAGCGGCCGAUAUCGGAUUAGCGAGUUGGUGGGGGAACGGCUCACCAAGGCGACGAUGCGUAGCUGGUUUGCAAGGACGACCAGCCACACUGGGACUGAGACACGGCCCAGACUCCUACGGGAGGCAGCAGUGGGGAAUUUGGGAGAAUGGGGGGAACCCGGAUCCAGCCAUCCCGCGUGUGCGAUGAAGGCCUUCGGGUUGUAAAGCACUUUUGGCAGGUAAGCGGUACCUGCAGAAUAAGCACCGGCUAACUACGUGCCAGCAGCCGCGGUAAUAC